ACUACUACUGGUAGUGAAAUUAUUGAAAUGAUUGCCAAUUAUUAAUUAUUCAUCUAAAAGUAAGUAACUUUGGGUAUUAGUUGUUGUUAUGUUUCUUCCAACUGUAAUGGUAGAAAUUGUCAUUGUAAAUUCAUUUCAACAGGAGGGCCUAAAACGACUGACAGCGCACAGAACCAGGCAAGACACUACAAAGUUCUGCAGGAGCUAUACAAAUCCAGGCCCAGACCCAACAGCAAGGAUGUUGCCCAGCUGUUGGACCUUGAAUACCAAGCAAGACGGGCUUAUAUUGACACUGAUGUUAUGAAGGAGCAGGACAGGCCUACCAAGAUUCUUGAAGCAUAUCCCUGCUUCAGAGAAGUGGAUCAUAGUAAAGCAAACCAUUGCCAUGGUGAAGGCUUUGCCUGACAUGUUCCCAUCCAAGAAGUUAGGACAUGCAAGUGAGGGUAUGCUUCACAUCCUUGAGUCUGCGGAAGACCCCAACACUUUUCUUCAGGCAAGACCACUCUUCAGUCCUGUGGUCAUUGUCUGUGAAACCAACUGCAUACUGGCCAUUGGAACCAUGCCUGUGCUGAUCUUCCCAAAAGAGAACAUCUCUGACAGUGUGAUGUACAUCAUGGCAUGUUACUACACAUUUCACCUUACAUAUCCCAAGUGCAUAGCCACACUCCUCUCUGUGCUGCAGACACCGCAGGUCCUCAUGGAUGCCAUCCAUAACUGAGACAUGACUUCCUCAUAUAAAAAAAGCUAUGGCUGAGUGGAAGAAGCUUAUCACUGAGCAGAACACAAAGUAGUAAAAAAGUUGAUGCCCUGUGCCAGUAAUGUUUGCCUUGGAUGAUAGUUUGUUGAGGUGUCACAGGCAUAUGUGUCAGAUGUUUAUGUAUUAUAGUGUAUAGUAUUAUACAGUUAACCUUUCAGUUUACCAGCCUUUCAACCUUGACACAAUCUGUGACAUUUCUUGUUCUAGUACUGUCAGGAUCAUUAAGCAUUAAUGAUAUAAAAUUCCACGGCUUUUGCCUUAUUUCAAGAAUUUUAAUAAAAUGAUCCUACAUAAUGAGAAAAUAUUGUUAACUGCAUCAAGAAAAGUACAAUAGUUUUUAGUAUAACUUUGCUGGUUUCAAGGAAUAUAAUGCCAAGUGCAUGACAUUAUUGCAAGAUAAUGGCACUAGCAUUUUCUUGAUUUAAGAAUAUUUUAAAACAUACUGAGAAAAUACCUCUCAUAUAUUUCAUUUAAAUCAAGAAAAAUGCACUUGUUAUUAGUGAGAAUACACAAAUUUUAGGUAUUUUUGCGUUCAUUGAGGUUAGAUAUUUGUAAUUGUUUUGGAAAGUCUUUGGAAAUUUUCUUGUUCUGUUGGCAGAUAAUUUUACUAAUUUUAAGUAAUAUACACCACUUUUUUUUCUCGUUUUUCAAAGCUGGCUUUUUGCAGUGAGCUUAACUUGCAGGACUGGCUCUGAAAAACUCAAAAAAAAAAAAAAAUAAUCCAAACUCAAUGCUUCAAAACGGUAUGUCACAAAGCAAUGGGUGACGUCACGACAGGUUCACACUUGACACCCACUAUCCACAUCCCCUAAUCUGUCUCUCUACAAUGCCUCUGCUACCUGUGCUGAAGUCUCACUAAGCUUAGUUACAGUAAACAGUUAAAAGCAGUGACAGCUCUGUACUGUCACUGCUUUCAUAAAGAUGUCUUGCAAGUAAAAUAUGAGAUGUUAGUGGCCAGGAUAGAUGGUAAAAAAAAAAGGGUUCCAUUAUGUAACUACAGUUCUUUGAGAUAUUAUUAUAUAUUAUUAUUAUCUGAACAUUAAAACAGCUGAAACAUAACAAUUUAAGGGAGACACUGGAUCUGACAGAUCUGUUAGGAGGGUAUGAAUGUUGCAAGUUAGGUGAGGGUCAUGUGAUGUUAACCAGUUAUUGAAGUAGUCAAUUAAAUCAUGAGAAGAAUAAGAUCAGACUUUAUCCCAUAACCCAUUUCUCCUUGAAGGAAAAUUAUGACAUACCACAGACCAAGUAGAACUCACAGAACCCAUUUCUGAUGUUUUUUUUUUUUAAAUACUACCCCUAAAUGUCAAAGAUCUGUGAUGUGACAUAUAAGUCACAAUGGGCGUUUAUGGUAAAUGUAUUCCUUAUUUGAAAAUAAAUCAACUUGGCAGCUUUUCUGCUUACAGAAACACAAAUUUGCAUUUUUAUUUAUCAAAACUCUGACUUUAAUAGUGCUGUUUAACAACAGAUUAUUUUUUAGAUUUGUUUUAAGUAACACAUUUCGUGCUCAGUAGGGGGCAGGAUUUGGGUAUUAGCAAAAUAUUAAUAAUUAUCAAAAAU
ensembl:lncRNA